rnacentral:rRNA from 1 species
UCGAGGGGUAUAGUUCUUCGGAAUUAGAGACCGGCGCACGGGUGCGUAACGCGUAUGCAAUCUACCUUUCACAGAGGGAUAGCCCAGAGAAAUUUGGAUUAAUACCUCAUAGUAUGCAGAGUUGGCAUCAACACUGCAUUAAAGUCACAACGGUGAAAGAUGAGCAUGCGUCCCAUUAGCUAGUUGGUAAGGUAACGGCUUACCAAGGCUACGAUGGGUAGGGGUCCUGAGAGGGAGAUCCCCCACACUGGUACUGAGACACGGACCAGACUCCUACGGGAGGCAGCAGUGAGGAAUAUUGGUCAAUGGGCGCAAGCCUGAACCAGCCAUGCCGCGUGCAGGAUGACGGUCCUAUGGAUUGUAAACUGCUUUUGUACAGGAAGAAACAGUUCUACGUGUACAACCUUGACGGUACUGUAAGAAUAAGGAUCGGCUAACUCCGUGC